rnacentral:lncRNA from 1 species
UUAGGCGUGGGCAUUCGGGGUCCCAAUCGGGUUUCGGUUUUAUCCAUUCGGGUUUUGGUUUUUCGGGUUUAUCAAAAUCAACCCCAUUCGGGUUAUAUAAAAGUUCGGUUCGGGACCGGUUCGGGUUAUAUCGGGUUCGGGUCGGGGUUAGUAAAUCUUCAAAGAACCGGUAUAACCCAUUGUACUUUCGGGUUCGGGUCCCAAUCGGUUCUUCGGUUUAAAAAUACAUGAUUUGUACCUAUUUUGUAACUAAAACAUAAAUGAAAUCGGUUCUUCAGAUUUAAAAUACAUGAUUUGUACAUAUUUUAAUAGCCAAAACAUAAGUAAAAUCGAUUCAAAAAUAAGAAAAAACAUCAAACGUGAUCAUUCAAAAUCAAGCGAAAGAUAAACAUAGUUAGUGAAAUAAAGAAAACAGAUAAAUGAAAUCAUAAAACAAAAACUAAGUUCUCAUGAAAUGAGAAACACUAUUUAAUGAAAACAAAACCAAAAUAAAAAAAACUUUAGGUUUCAACCGCUACAUUCCACCAUCAACCUUUAUCUAAUAGAUAAUUAUUUUAGAAGUUCAAUAAUAUCUUAAAGUAUUUUGGAUACAUAUUAAGAAUUAAGAUCAUAUUUGGUAGAAGUUCUUUUUGUUAUUAUAAAUGUUUCGGGUUCUAUCGGAUAUCCAUUUAGGUCCGGGUUCGGUUCGGAUAAUACCCAUAACCCAAUAUACCAAAAAACAGGAUCCAUUCGGUAUUUAUGUCGGGUUCGGAUCGGUUCGGAUUCAUUUUCAUCGGAUCGGGUUCGGUUCGGAUUUUCGGGUUCGGUUUAUUUGCCCAGCCCUAGU